rnacentral:rRNA from 1 species
GAGUGAUUGGGGUGAAGUCGUAACAAGGUUUCCGUAGGUGAACCUGCAGAAGGAUA